rnacentral:rRNA from 1 species
UGCAGUCGAACGCUUCUUUUCCCACCGGAGCUUGCUCCACCGGGAAAAGAGGAGUGGCGAACGGGUGAGUAACACGUGGGUAACCUGCCCAUCAGAAGGGGAUAACACUUGGAAACAGGUGCUAAUACCGUAUAACAAUCGAAACCGCAUGGUUUCGUUUUGAAAGGCGCUUUACGGUGCCGCUGAUGGAUGGACCCGCGGUGCAUUAGCUAGUUGGUGAGGUAACGGCUCACCAAGGCCACGAUGCAUAGCCGACCUGAGAGGGUGAUCGGCCACAUUGGGACUGAGACACGGCCCAAACUCCUACGGGAGGCAGCAGUAGGGAAUCUUCGGCAAUGGACGAAAGUCUGACCGAGCAACGCCGCGUGAGUGAAGAAGGUUUUCGGAUCGUAAAACUCUGUUGUUAGAGAAGAACAAGGGUGAGAGUAACUGUUCACCCCUUGACGGUAUCUAACCAGAAAGCCACGGCUAACUACGUGCCAGCAGCCGCGGUAAUACGUAGGUGGCAAGCGUUGUCCGGAUUUAUUGGGCGUAAAGCGAGCGCAGGCGGUUUCUUAAGUCUGAUGUGAAAGCCCCCGGCUCAACCGGGGAGGGUCAUUGGAAACUGGGAGACUUGAGUGCAGAAGAGGAGAGUGGAAUUCCAUGUGUAGCGGUGAAAUGCGUAGAUAUAUGGAGGAACACCAGUGGCGAAGGCGGCUCUCUGGUCUGUAACUGACGCUGAGGCUCGAAAGCGUGGGGAGCAAACAGGAUUAGAUACCCUGGUAGUCCACGCCGUAAACGAUGAGUGCUAAGUGUUGGAGGGUUUCCGCCCUUCAGUGCUGCAGCUAACGCAUUAAGCACUCCGCCUGGGGAGUACGACCGCAAGGUUGAAACUCAAAGGAAUUGACGGGGGCCCGCACAAGCGGUGGAGCAUGUGGUUUAAUUCGAAGCAACGCGAAGAACCUUACCAGGUCUUGACAUCCUUUGACCACUCUAGAGAUAGAGCUUCCCCUUCGGGGGCAAAGUGACAGGUGGUGCAUGGUUGUCGUCAGCUCGUGUCGUGAGAUGUUGGGUUAAGUCCCGCAACGAGCGCAACCCUUAUUGUUAGUUGCCAUCAUUUAGUUGGGCACUCUAGCAAGACUGCCGGUGACAAACCGGAGGAAGGUGGGGAUGACGUCAAAUCAUCAUGCCCCUUAUGACCUGGGCUACACACGUGCUACAAUGGGAAGUACAACGAGUCGCGAAGUCGCGAGGCUAAGCUAAUCUCUUAAAGCUUCUCUCAGUUCGGAUUGUAGGCUGCAACUCGCCUACAUGAAGCCGGAAUCGCUAGUAAUCGCGGAUCAGCACGCCGCGGUGAAUACGUUCCCGGGCCUUGUACACACCGCCCGUCACACCACGAGAGUUUGUAACACCCGAAGUCGGUGAGGUAACCUUUUGGAGCCAGCC